rnacentral:rRNA from 1 species
AUUGAACGCUGGCGGCAUGCCUUACACAUGCAAGUCGAACGGUAACAGGUCUUCGGAUGCUGACGAGUGGCGAACGGGUGAGUAAUACAUCGGAACGUGCCUAGUAGUGGGGGAUAACUACUCGAAAGAGUGGCUAAUACCGCAUGAGAUCUACGGAUGAAAGCAGGGGAUCGCAAGACCUUGUGCUACUAGAGCGGCCGAUGGCAGAUUAGGUAGUUGGUGGGAUAAAAGCUUACCAAGCCGACGAUCUGUAGCUGGUCUGAGAGGACGAUCAGCCACACUGGGACUGAGACACGGCCCAGACUCCUACGGGAGGCAGCAGUGGGGAAUUUUGGACAAUGGGCGCAAGCCUGAUCCAGCAAUGCCGCGUGCAGGAUGAAGGCCUUCGGGUUGUAAACUGCUUUUGUACGGAACGAAAAGCCCCGGGUUAAUACCCUGGGGUCAUGACGGUACCGUAAGAAUAAGCACCGGCUAACUACGUGCCAGCCGCCGCAGUAAAAC